UACGUAGGUGGCAAGCGUUGUCCGGAUUUAUUGGGUUUAAAGGGUGCGUAGGCGGUAGCCUAAGUCAGUUGUGAAAUACUUCAGCUUAACUGGAGAGGUGCAAUUGAUACUGGGUUACUAGAGUACUGAUGAGGUAUGCGGAAUGGACGGUGUAGCGGUGAAAUGCUUAGAUAUCGUCCAGAACACCGAUAGCGAAGGCAGCAUACUAAGGAGUAACUGACGCUGAGGCACGAAAGUGUGGGGAUCAAACAGG
rnacentral:rRNA from 1 species